rnacentral:rRNA from 1 species
UACAGAGGUCUCAAGCGUUGUUCGGAUUCAUUGGGCGUAAAGGUUGCGUAGGCGGCGGGGUAAGUCUGAUGUGAAAUCCCGGGGCUCAACUCCGGAACUGCAUUGGAUACUGCCCUGCUUGAGUACUGGAGAGGAGACUGGAAUUUACGGUGUAGCAGUGAAAUGCGUAGAGAUCGUAAGGAAGACCAGUGGCGAAGGCGAGUCUCUGGACAGUUACUGACGCUGAGACGCGAAAGCGUGGGGAGCAAACAGG